rnacentral:rRNA from 1 species
GACGAACGCUGGCGGCGUGCCUAAUACAUGCAAGUAGAACGCUGAAGGAGGAGCUUGCUUCUCUGGAUGAGUUGCGAACGGGUGAGUAACGCGUAGGUAACCUGCCUGGUAGCGGGGGAUAACUAUUGGAAACGAUAGCUAAUACCGCAUAAUAGUAGAUGUUGCAUGACAUUUGCUUAAAAGGUGCAAUUGCAUCACUACCAGAUGGACCUGCGUUGUAUUAGCUAGUUGGUGGGGUAACGGCUCACCAAGGCGACGAUACAUAGCCGACCUGAGAGGGUGAUCGGCCACACUGGGACUGAGACACGGCCCAGACUCCUACGGGAGGCAGCAGUAGGGAAUCUUCGGCAAUGGACGGAAGUCUGACCGAGCAACGCCGCGGGAGUGAAGAAGGGUGUCGGAUCGUAAAGCUCUGUUGUAAGAGAAGAACGAGUGUGAGAGUGGAAAGUUCACACUGUGACGGUAUCUUACCAGAAAGGGACGGCUAACUACGUG